UUUACAACAAAAGCGAACAACACAACAACAACAGAAAGCGAAAAAAAAACUGCCAAGGUAAAACCAACCAGCGACUACCUGAGGGCCAUGAUUGAUUCUAAAGGCUGGAAGGCAUAAUAAUAGG